rnacentral:rRNA from 1 species
UACGGGGGGGGCAAGCGUUGUUCGGAAUUACUGGGCGUAAAGUGUGCGCAGGCGGCCGAGCAAGUCGAGUGUGAAAGCCCCGGGCUUAACUUGGGAAUUGCGCUCGAAACUACUUGGCUGGAGUGUGGCAGAGGAAGGUGGAAUUCCAGGUGUAGCGGUGAAAUGCGUAGAGAUCUGGAGGAACACCGAUGGCGAAGGCAGCCUUCUGGGCCAACACUGACGCUCACGCACGAAAGCGUGGGGAGCAAACAGG